CCGAGUCUUAAUUGGGCGUUAAGUUGCAGGGUAUAGACCCGAAACCCGGUGAUCUAGCCAUGGGCAGGUUGAAGGUUGGGUAACACUAACUGGAGGACCGAACCGACUAAUGUUGAAAAAUUAGCGGAUGACCUGUGGCUGGGGGUGAAAGGCCAAUCAAACCGGGAGAUAGCUGGUUCUCCCCGAAAGCUAUUUAGGUAGCGCCUCGUGAAUUCAUCUCCGGGGGUAGAGCACUGUUUCGGCUAGGGGGCCAUCCCGGCUUACCAACCCGAUGCAAACUGCGAAUACCGGAGAAUGUUAUCACGGGAGACACACGGCGGGUGCUAACGUCCGUCGUGAAGAGGGAAACAACCCAGACCGCCAGCUAAGGUCCCAAAGUCAUGGUUAAGUGGGAAACGAUGUGGGAAGGCCCAGACAGCCAGGAUGUUGGCUUAGAAGCAGCCAUCAUUUAAAGAAAGCGUAAUAGCUCACUGGUCGAGUCGGCCUGCGCGGAAGAUGUAACGGGGCUAAACCAUGCACCGAAGCUGCGGCAGCGAACGUAUCACCCAAGACAACUUUACGGAGUUGACGAUUGACGGAGCGAAGCGACGUCAAAGCGUUCAUUAAAGUCGAGUUGGCUUAGGGAUACGUUCGUUGGGUAGGGGAGCGUUCUGUAAGCCUGUGAAGGUGUGUCGUGAGGCAUGCUGGAGGUAUCAGAAGUGCGAAUGCUGACAUAAGUAACGAUAAAGCGGGUGAAAAGCCCGCUCGCCGGAAGACCAAGGGUUCCUGUCCAACGUUAAUCGGGGCAGGGUGAGUCGACCCCUAAGGCGAGGCCGAAAGGCGUAGUCGAUGGGAAACGGGUUAAUAUUCCCGUACUUGGUGUUACUGCGAAGGGGGGACGGAGAAGGCUAUGUUGGCCGGGCGACGGUUGUCCCGGUUUAAGCGUGUAGGUGUGUGUUCCAGGUAAAUCCGGUU
rnacentral:rRNA from 1 species